rnacentral:lncRNA from 1 species
GGCCGAUGCCACAGCGGUUAUUAUUUGUCACACUGUAAGACUUACAAAGGAGCUCACUGGGAGUGCAUAUGACAUGCAGAACAAUGACUACUAAGUCACAAACUGCUCCUAGAACCUUCAUGAUGCCGCUUUUCAAAGCCAGACCUGGGAUUUCUGUCACAAGGAGAGGACAUCCAGUGAAUGGCUUCAAACAGCUUUGAUGUCCUCUCAGAUGAAACUGAUUUCUUCUUUCUCCAUGAAGAGAGAAGAAACUGCAUACAUGCACUCAGCACAGAGCCUCCGGAGAGGCAGUUUUGGAUUCCGUGAAUACAGUAAUACCUAGGAAGCAAAGACCCAGGCAGGGAAUAGGGUGCUUGCCUGGCAUAUGUGAUGUUCUGAGUUCAGUCUUCCACAUCUAAAGUGUUUGUAGACCAUGAGAUUAAGCAGUCAGCUUGCUCUGCAACACUGCUUUCAUUUUGUUGCCAUCUUACAAACAGCUGCCUCUGGAGCCACCUGCUGACACAGUGUAGAAUCCUUUGCAGCUAAGAUCACUAAGCAAAGCGGCUCUCCAAGCAAACAGGAGAGAAGCUCAAGAUUAGACUCUGCUCCAUGGACUUCCCACAGCCAAGCAGUUAAAUCAUCCUGAAAAUCUCACUGGUCAUGUGAAUACUCGGAUCCAGUAAAUGGGGUAGCCAUGUGAGGUCCUCUAAAACUCAGGGACCUUUGAUUGAAACUACUGUUGACGUGGUUUUGAGCAAGGAAUAAAUACUGAUCAUGGCUUGCCACCAUCUAUAUCUGCCAUAUCUUAUACCCAACAUGUAAAUGCUGGUAUUUAUUCCACAUGCAACAAAUAAGGAAUAUAGAUUCGGAAUCUGUCUCAAUUCUCCCAUAACAGAAUACUAGCAAUACAUCAAAUUUGCCAUAGUCCACUUUGCCCACUUAGUGAUUUGUUUCAAGAACUUUCCACCUGGGGACAGAACUUUUUCACAUGAAUGUCUGAAGAGUUUUCUGUAGAAGCUGAAUUGCUA